CCUACGGGAGGCAGCAGUGGGGAAUAUUGGACAAUGGGCGAAAGCCUGAUCCAGCAAUGCCGCGUGUGUGAAGAAGGUCUUAGGAUUGUAAAGCACUUUCGACGGGGACGAUGAUGACGGUACCCGUAGAAGAAGCCCCGGCUAACUUCGUGCCAGCAGCCGCGGUAAUACGAAGGGGGCUAGCGUUGCUCGGAAUGACUGGGCGUAAAGGGCGCGUAGGCGGAUUGUUUAGUUAGGUGUGAAAUUCCUGGGCUUAACCUGGGGACUGCACUUAAUACAGGCAGUCUAGAGUGAGAUAGAGGGUUGUGGAAUUCCCAGUGUAGAGGUGAAAUUCGUAGAUAUUGGGAAGAACACCGGUGGCGAAGGCGGCAACCUGGAUCUUUACUGACGCUGAGGCGCGAAAGCGUGGGGAGCAAACAGGAUUAGAUACCCUGGUAGUCCACGCUGUAAACGAUGUGUGCUGGAUGUUGGGUGACCUAGUCACUCAGUGUCGUAGCUAACGCGAUAAGCACACCGCCUGGGGAGUACGGCCGCAAGGUUGAAACUUAAAUGAAUUGACGGNUGAGAGNGCGAGACGACACGAGGAGAG
rnacentral:rRNA from 1 species